CUUCAUCAGAAUGUAGUUUUGGCUCUAAUGUGUAAUAACAAAUAGGGAUAGCAUAUCCUAGCAGUACAUGCUGACAAAAUAUGAUGUUUAGUCUGUUUGUGCCACCUGCCAAGACAUGCAGCCGACGAAUACACACUCUGAAGCGGCACAAUCAAAAAAUGAUGCAACGUCAGAAAAGGCCUGAUGUGAACCUGUGAAAAAAACACUAUGCAAAGUCACCAACUCAAGAGUCAUUGGAUACAUUGAAGAGGACGGUUAAAUAGAAAGGUUGACAAAUGAAUAUAAUACAACUUGUCACAGUUUCAACAUAACCAUAUUGAAGUAACUACUUGUUUAAGAUAUAAGAUAAAUGUGUUUUUCAUAUGAAUUUCUUUUUCUUGUCAAGUACGACUGAUUGUUCCGUUAGGGGAGGGUAGUGGCCAUUAUUGUUAAGCGAGCCUGACAUAAAUAAACGAGGAGUUGUUGACUCUAAAGGCUUUUACAGAUGUAUGGUAUCUGCCAAUAUGAAUAACUGAAUUGAUUAUGUAAUUGUCAUUGUAACCAUUAUGAUGUCAAUUAGAAUAAACAAAGUUAACAUAUACAUUAUUAUCGUUAGACUU
ensembl:lncRNA